AGGGAAAUACAUUCAGGGAUCAUUUCUAUAGUUCUUUACUUCUAGAGAAGUUAACUUGAAGGUGGUCUGCUGAGCAAACCAUGAGGAGUCAAGUGUUAUUUUCUGAGUGUGAACUGAGUGGGUAGCAAAAUGUAUCUGUUACUUACUAUUGAUGACCGUUCUGCCCUCCUUAUAUAAGAAGAUUGACAAGAGGAAACAGAGACUGAGUGGA